UGGGGAAUAUUGCACAAUGGGCGCAAGCCUGAUGCAGCCAUGCCGCGUGUAUGAAGAAGGCCUUCGGGUUGUAAAGUACUUUCAGCGGGGAGGAAGGGAGUAAAGUUAAUACCUUUGCUCAUUGACGUUACCCGCAGAAGAAGCACCGGCUAACUCCGUGCCAGCAGCCGCGGUAAUACGGAGGGUGCAAGCGUUAAUCGGAAUUACUGGGCGUAAAGCGCACGCAGGCGGUUUGUUAAGUCAGAUGUGAAAUCCCCGGGCUCAACCUGGGAACUGCAUCUGAUACUGGCAAGCUUGAGGCUCGUAGAGGGGGGUAGAAUUCCAGGUGGAGCGGUGAAAUGCGUAGAGAUCUGGAGGAAUACCGGUGGCGAAGGCGGCCCCCUGGACGAAGACUGACGCUCAGGUGCGAAAGCGUGGGGAGCAAACAGG
rnacentral:rRNA from 1 species